rnacentral:ncRNA from 1 species
CAAAGGUUUGGUCCUGGCCUUGAAGUCAAUUACUUCUUAAUAUACACAUGCAAGUAUCCGCCCCCCUGUGAAAACGCCCUUAAACUCCCCCAUAGGGACAAGGAGCUGGUAUCAGGCACGAAAUUCUGCCCAAGACACCUAGCUUAGCCACACCCACAAGGGAACUCAGCAGUGAUUAACAUUGAACAUAAGCGACAGCUUGACUCAGUUAAAGAAAAUAGAGCCGGCAAAUCUGGUGCCAGCCGCCGCGGUUAUACCACGUGACUCAAAUUGACCUUAACCGGCGUAAAGCGUGAUUAAAGUUUCUAAAAAUUAAAGUUAAACUGAAAUUAAGCUGUGACACGCUUAUUUUAAGGAAAACCUAAUACGAAAGUUACUUUAACUAAAUCUACUUGAACUCACGACAAUUAGGACACAAACUGGGAUUAGAUACCCCACUAUGCCUAAUCGUAAACUUUAAUUUACAACAAUAUCGCCAGGGAACUACGAGCAAAGCUUAAAACCCAAAGGACUUGACGGUACCCCAAAUCCACCUAGAGGAGCCUGUCCUAUAACCGAUACCCCCCGUUUAACCUCACCAUUUUUAGCCUCUCAGCCUGUAUACCUCCGUCGUCAGCUUACCACGUGAGCGAACACUAGUGAGCUUAAUGUUUAUACACCAACACGUCAGGUCAAGGUGCAGCAUAUGAAAUGGAAAGAGAUGGGCUACACUUUCUAAUAUAGAAUACACGAAGGACUAUUUAUGAAACCUAGUCUGAAGGAGGAUUUAGAAGUAAAAAAAAACAAGAGCGUUUUCUUUAACUAGGCACUGGGGUGUGUACACACCGCCCGUCACCCUCUUCAAAGCUCAAUUAUAGUAACUAACUUAAAUUCGCUAAACAGAAGAGGCAAGUCGUAACAUGGUAAGUAUACCGGAAGGUGUGCUUGGAAA